rnacentral:rRNA from 1 species
GAAGUCGUAACAAGGUUUCCGUAGGUGAACCUGCGGAAGGAUNAUUGU